UAAGCGAGGUGCAGACGUGCAUCCGGGUUAGCUUGUAGGUGGCGUAUAAUGGAAUAGAGAAGUGCCUGCCGCGGUAGGCGAGUAAGAGGAGAUGUGACGUUCGAGACGAGAAGAGAAGAAGGAAAAGUCAUCUACGAGUGCGGAGGGGGCGAUCACUGACCAACACGGCUGGCCGGUACCGACGGGGGUGGGGGCGUGGGGAGUGUGGGGUGGUCGCUGUUCACGACGGGGGUGGGGGCGGGGGAGUGUAGAGUGGUCGCUGUUCACAACGUUUGGUUGUGGGUGUCCACGGCAGCUACCGCCGCCGUUCACUACCUCUGCGCGCCGCCGGCCGUAACCCCGCAACGUUGGUGCCGCUGUUCACUACCUCUAGGCCGGAAAACAAAAACCUUCGUCCGGGUUAAAAACGACGAUUGUGGAAGCAAAAAAACGACCUUGUCAGAAAAAAAAACGAUGGUACACAAAACGAAAAACGGCCUUGGUUGAAGUUCGGCCGUACCCCUUUUUCGAAGGUGGGAUCCCUCUUUUUCGAAGUUGGCCGACCUUCUUUUCGAAGUUCACGGUACUCCUUUUUCGAAGGUAGCAUCCUUUUUUCGAAGUAACCACCUUUUUCGAAGUUGGGCAUUAAAUUAAACGACCUUCUCCAUUAUCGUGACGUCCAGGGACUUGAACAGUACCUCCACUACCAAACCAGGAGUUUGAACUUUUUCGACUAAUAAACUAGGAACUUGAACAAUACCUUCACGUUUAAACCAGGACCCGCUUAGUGUCGAGCGGUUCACCUCGGUCGACCCGACCCGGCCAGUUGCGGCGCGUAAAACGUCAAACGGGGACGGAAAUCGGGAUUAGUUGGGCAUGAUGGGUGGACUUAAUUGAGAAUAAUAAGAACUGGGGGAGAAUAAUAAGAACUACGAAUAAGAAGAGGGGUGGUAUUUCAGAUCAGAUCUAUGGGAAGUACACAUAAAAAUAUAACUCUAUACAAGAAGUACCAGGGAGUGCGGACUAAAGUGGACGUCAAGUUUAACAACGACAGAAAGAACAGGGGAAAAUAAAAGAACAAGCAACGCUAUACUACUCUCAUAAAGGUGUAGUAAAGGAGGGAAGAGCAUUUUUAGGAUGAUAAAAGUCGAACAAAACCAGCCACGGCGCCGCGGGUACUAGUGCGGUCUUAAAAACCGUUUCAUCAUUGGUACGGUCCGGACGCAAGAGACGUAGACCGGACCGUUUGACGGUAAUUUAGAACGAGGGAAAAGAAUCGUCCACGUAGUACACGUUAGAAGAUAGUUUCCUUUGCUCAAGUACUAGACCAGGUUCAAGUACACCCAUCAUCCUUACAUCCAAGCGAACACGGUAACCAUAAACUGACGAUCUAGGGAUUUCAACCGAAAGUGCCGACACGCGAACAGGAACGGAGACACUAUUGAAAAAAAAAGUCCAACGGAGACACUAUUGGACGAAUGUAAAUAAGUUUUUUUUGGUCGAAUGUAAUAAAAAAACUCUUGAUUUAUUGGACGAAUGUACGAUGGCAUAGUCAGUUACUAACUGGGACCCGAAACAUCCUAUCCGACUACGGUCAGUCUAGAAAACAUAGACACGUACGUUGUGGGAUUAGAGGACAGACCGUGAAUUAACCACUAUCUACGAACAGAAAAGUAUACGACACGAGAUGACUGACUAUACCCUUUUGUAGGUCUUGUACCUCCACAACCGUGUGUCGACACUACGUCAUGAUCAACAUAAGUCAUCAUAAGUUCUAUACGGAAGUGACUUUACACAAUGAUUGUAUUUUUUCAAAGAACCCGCAACCUUGACACGUCAUGGACCUACUCUUGUUCGUCGACUAGGACCGGUAGGAGCUGUUGGUCUUGUUGCCGUUCCACCUUCUCACGCGUGCCUUGGUUCGAUUCGAAGUUGUCUUGGAAUACAUUGAGCAGCGGUAGCGGUUGUCGGUCGGCGGCGUCUGCCGCAACGACAGAGUCCACCCAACACGCCCAACUAAUCCCGAUUUCCGUCCCCCGUUUGACGUUUUAUGCGCCGCGACUGGCCGGGUCGGGUCGACCGAGUUGAACCGCUCGACACUAAGCGGGUCCUGGUUUAAACGUGAAGGUACUGUUCAAGUUCCUGGUUUAUUAGUGGAAAAAGUUCAAACUCCUGGUUUGGUAGUGGAAAUACUGUUCAAGUCCCUGGACGUCACAAUAAUGGAGAACGACCUUGAGUAACUACAAAAACGAUCUUGGUUAAAAGAAGUACUCCGCGCCGCCGCUCGGUGAAAAAAUAAAAACGACGUAAACACAAAAAAACGACCUUGGUAGUUGGCCAAAACGAUGUUGCUCGAAACUAAAAACGACCUUGGCGGACUUCGCCUCGCCCCUGGUCUAAACAAUCGUUGACUAAAAACAACGUUGGUAGGUUAGCUACUCGUCGCUGCCGCUCGGCCACUCGCCGCCGGUGUCUCGAACUUCGCCCUCCGGUACCUUCCCGCUGCUCCUUCUUCCUCCCAACCCCUUUUGACAGCUUUCCUUCCUCUGUCCGCGCACCCUCCUCUCCCCCACUUUAGCACACCAGACCUUGUGUGCGUAGUACACGCCGACCCCCGGCUGGUCGGGUUUCAAACCCGGCCGCGUGGCCGCGGAUAGCGGGGGGAACGUUAUCCAACUACCAAUGUAGCAAUAAUGUUCACCGUUUUAUUUGUACCCAGCCAGUGGUAGGGUCUUUUGUAAUCUUUAACUUAGUAUUCGUACGGAUCGAUCUGAUACCCGGUGGAAUAAACGUAGGGAACUUGUUACAACCUUUCACUAUAAUGAGACUCGUUAGCGUUUUGUAAGUCGGUACUGACGACGUAUACCCCAGUUUUGGAGAUAGAGUGGUAAUGUCUCAACCUUGUCAAGGUAACUUAGACUAAGUUGUUAAUAGCCGCUCGUAUGUUCUAAAAGUUAUUCUCGUUCCGGAAUAAGUUCUCGAGAACUAGGGCAACACCGACCUGAGUCUUCCAAUAUCUACAAGAGGCGUGUAGGGCGAUGACGGAGGGGUGCUAGUAAUGCUUGCUGUUGAGGUCAACGAGGCCAGGGUAGUAGUUUCUUUCGACGUAGAUAUAAGUAAAAUAUUCAUGAGGCUCCGCCAAAACAGGUACUUUAAAGUACGCAGAACUGGCAGUUUAAUCUCCGUACCAAGCGGCUCUUCCGGAAAUAAACCACGGUCGCAAUUCGUACUUGUAAUAUAGACCUAGAACAAACUACGCUCUGCCAAUAAGUAAAUUUAGUCUCUUAUUAACAACAAGAUAAAUAUACUCAUUAUAGAAAAUACCAGUACGUGGGAACUUCUCACCAGAUAAAAAUAAUUUAGAGCUAUCAUCACUAUGUGUAUAAGUAUUAUAACUUCGGUUUUCUACGUCUCAACUAUUACUAUCACGUUGAAUAAACACCGUGACGGCAAAUCCAGUAUAACCACAUUUCGCGUACUUCUUUGAGGUAUGACUACUUGAAAACCUUAGUGA
rnacentral:rRNA from 1 species